GAGGGGCUCGCGGCCUAUCAGCUAGUUGGCGAGGUAAUGGCUCACCAAGGCUACGACGGGUAGCUGGUCUGAGAGGAUGGCCAGCCACAUUGGGACUGAGAGACGGCCCAGACUCCUACGGGAGGCAGCAGUGGGGAAUCUUGCGCAAUGGCCUAACGGCUGACGCAGCGACGCCGCGUGAGGGAUGACGCUCUUCGGAGUGUAAACCUCUUUUGCCUGGAACGAACUAUCAGCAUUCGCUGAUUUGACGGUACCGGGUGAAUAAGCACCGGCUAACUCCGUGCCAGCAGCCGCGGUAAUACGGGGGGUGCGAGCGUUGUCCGGAAUCACUGGGCGUAAAGGGCGCGUAGGUGGCAUGAUAAGGGUGUGGUGAAAGCCCGGGGCUCAACCCCGGGUCGGCCAUGCCGACUGUCACGCUGGAGUACUGUAGGGGCAGGCGGAAUUCCGGGUGUAGCGGUGGAAUGCGUAGAGAUCCGGAGGAAGACCGGUGGCGAAGGCGGCCUGCUGGGCAGUUACUGACACUGAGGCGCGACAGCGUGGGGAGCAAACAGGAUUAGAUACCCUGGUAGUCCACGCCGUAAACGAUGGGUACUAGGUGCCUGGGGGAGCGACCCCUUGGGUGCCGGCGCUAACGCAGGAAGUACCCCGCCUGGGGAGUACGGCCGCAAGGCUGAAACUCAAAGGAAUUGAC
rnacentral:rRNA from 1 species